ACAACAAAAAACAACUUCGCUCUGUCAUUGCGGGACCGACUUUGAGAGUGAACGGACGCGGAAAUGGAGGACCAGAUCGAAAGGCAGCGGACUCACCUUCAGCGGGAGAAAAUAUCUGCUGCAAUCAAGCUGGAGCGGAUACAGCGAUUCGGAAGCGGGCGCGGAAUCGGUCAAAGUGGAAGUCAUCGAGGAAUUGGAGCGGGAAUACGACACGACUCACCGGCAAUUGAAGGAAUUGGAGAUCAGCAACGAAGCGAGAAAGAAGCGGGAAAUUCAAACGUUGAAGCGAUUCGGUGUGAUGGACAGCAGUGCAUUGUCCGGCAUUCGCUACAGCCUGCCGGAUAUCGAAAUCAGUCGCAUCCGGACCAUUCCUCCUCCGUUUCUGGCAGCCAUCAUCACCCUGGGUGAGGAGGCCGAAGAAGAAUCUGAAGAAGCUGAUCCUUACAGGAAGAAAAGGAGUAGAAUGGUUGUCGGCCUCGCCCAUCUUCUUCCGUCCGAGAAGCCGGAGCGAAACGCCCAGUUGAAAGUAUCGAGCCAUGUCGGCCGGCGGAGUGACGGCGGCCACUCCGACCACAGUCCUGAGCUUGAGACUACUGUACACGGGCAUCGUAAAAAAACGAAUGUAUACUCUCCUCCUUUCUCAGUUUCUAUCACCUGGAUUAGAAAAGCAAAACAUUUAUUCCAGACAGAAACGCUU